CGAGGGCACCGAGCUCCUCCACUUCUACCCCAGAGGUCCGAAACCUCUAAUUUUGUAUUUUUUCCCUUUGUUGCGAUUUUUUUUUCGUUCUCUUGUACUUAAAAACUAUUUAAUCAAUGAAAUCGGAUUCUUCUUUACAGAGAGCUCCUUUUUCUUUCUCUACAUCCUUUUUCUUCUCUUUUAUUUUCUUACACUGAUUCGUGUUGUGACGCUCUUAUCUCCCAACAAUAG
rnacentral:lncRNA from 1 species